UGGGGAAUAUUGGACAAUGGGCGCAAGCCUGAUCCAGCAAUGCCGCGUGAGUGAUGAAGGCCUUCGGGUUGUAAAGCUCUUUCGCACGCGACGAUGAUGACGGUAGCGUGAGAAGAAGCCCGGCUAACUUCGUGCCAGCAGCCGCGGUAAUACGAAGGGGGCUAGCGUUGUUCGGAAUUACUGGGCGUAAAGGGCGCGUAGGCGGUGUGUCAAGUCAGGCGUGAAAGCCCCGGGCUCAACCUGGGAACCGCGCUUGAGACUGGCACGCUAGAGUUCGGGAGAGGAUGGUGGAAUUCCCAGUGUAGAGGUGAAAUUCGUAGAUAUUGGGAAGAACACCGAUGGCGAAGGCAGCCAUCUGGACCGACACUGACGCUGAGGCGCGAAAGCGUGGGGAGCAAACAGGAUUAGAUACCCUGGUAGUCCACGCCGUAAACGAUGAGUGCUAGACGUUGGGGCCCUUAGGGCUUCGGUGUCGCAGCUAACGCGUUAAG
rnacentral:rRNA from 1 species